GGACUACACGGGUUUCUAAUCCUGUUCGCUCCCCACGCUUUCGCUCCUCAGUGUCAGGUAAGGCCCAGAGAACCGCCUUCGCCACCGGUGUUCCUCCUGAUAUCUGCGCAUUUCACCGCUACACCAGGAAUUCCAUUCUCCCCUACCUACCUCUAGCCUGCCCGUAUCCACUGCAAGCCCAGGGUUGAGCCCUGGGUUUUCACAGCGGACGCAACAGGCCACCUACGAGCUCUUUACGCCCAAUGAUUCCGGACAACGCUUGCGCCCUACGUGUUACCGCGGCUGCUGGCAC
rnacentral:rRNA from 1 species